rnacentral:rRNA from 1 species
GAUGAACGCUGGCGGCGUGCCUAACACAUGCAAGUCGAACGGGUACUUCGGUACCAGUGGCAAACGGGUGCGUAACACGUAGGCAAUCUGCCCAAGAGGAUGGGGGACAACGGAUGGAAACGUCCCGCUAAUACCCGAUGACGUCGAGAGACGAAAGGCGCAAGCCGCUCUUGGAGGAGCCUGCGGCCUAUCAGGUAGUUGGUGGGGUAACGGCCUACCAAGCCGACGACGGGUAGGGGGUGUGAGAGCAUGACCCCCACACGGGGACUGAGACACGGCCCGACUCCUACGGAGGCAGCAGUGAGGGAUAUUGGGCAAUGGCGCAAGCCUGACCCAGCGACG